rnacentral:lncRNA from 1 species
AUAACAGUAAUCUCUUCCUGAUUUUAACAUAAUCACCUCCGUUAUCAUUGUUUGCUGAUUAUCUGCUGCAUUGUUAUUAAUCUUGUUUGCUUGUAUCCUCUAGAACUAGCCUCGUCCCACAUCAGAUCAAAGUCAGACAGAGUGCUUCUUUUACAAGAAGCAGGAUCACUGGAAGAGGAAUUGUCCUCAAUAUAUCAUUUUUCUUGACCCAAACAGGCCAAAGAAGAAGAAGCAAUCAGUUGCUGGAUAAGGUACUUAUGUGAUAACACCUUGUAACUUCUUUCUUAUAGAUACAAUGACCUGGGUGUUGGAUACUGAAAGCCCUAUUCAUAUUUGCAAUUCGUUACAGGAUCUUCAAAUCAC